ACAGACAUGGCAGCGGACGGAGGCCGCUCAGAACAACAGCAGGGUCCCGAGACCCAGGCCCAGUACCAGCCGCGCAGCUCCGGAGCGGGAGCAGAGCGCCGUUCCCAUUUAAGGAUUCCAGAAGCGUCCCCGGAGUGGUGCGAAUGCGAACAAAAGAGCGAGCGCGAGCGGACCGGGCCGCGGGGCCGGGGUCUCCCGCAGGCCCCGCUGAGGCGCGUCGACGGCGGCCUCCCCGGCGCGGCCACCUUCGCCCCAAACUUCGCCGGCCUCCCGCGGCGCACCCGCACACAGCGACCCGCCAACUCACCGGGGUCCCGAGAAACUCAUCCUCCGGCGCUCGGCGCAGGCGGGCACGGACAGCCGCGGGGCGGCGGGGCCCGGCUCGGCCUCCGCCCUCGGCGUGCAGCGGCCCGGGCCCGGUCGCCCCUCGCGCGGCCGUACAGUCCCCGUCUCGCGCGGGCCGACGCGCGGGAGCUCGAGCCUCCCUCCCCGCCCUUCCCUCCGCCCUCCUCCUCCGCGCGGCCGGCCAGCAGAUUCCAAUCUCUGCCGCCUCAGCCCCCGAGGACGCUCGCUAGCGGGGGGAGGGGCGGCGCGUGGGGGAAGGGCGGCCCGGGCGAGCAAGAGGCGCCGGCGCGCGCGCACUGGGAAGGGCCCGCCAGCUCUGCGCGCACCCGCCCCGGGGCGCCGGCCCCGCCCCGGACACGAACCGAGCCGAGAGCUCGGCGGAAGUGCCCGAAGGGCCCGUUGAGUUCGGCGCCCCUCUGCCGGGAAGGAGGACCGGCCGCCGGCACGGGGGCGCCAGGUUGCCGAGGGAAGGGGGGCCACCCCUCAGCGCACGCCGCCGCCACACGCGUGACGGAGGGGCAGCUGGGGCAAGGCUGCGUGAAGUAGACGGUGCGGGCACACCUCUUCUAGAGCCGAAGCUCGCGCUGCACGUGAGAAGCUGCCGGGUUGCUCCGAAGGCACCGAGUCUCCACGGUGCGGGAUCUGUUGCCCGUUUCGUAGUUGUGGUCGCAAAGAAAAAUGUAGCCACACUGCAUUCAUUACUCACCCCCUCCCGUGCCCCCCGCCCGGGUUCUCUCCGGUUCUGGCUCGCCGGGUGGAACGUGGAGGUGCACGCGUUCUCAGGGUCACGUAGCAAAAGCCUGGUUUCGGCCCGGAGGCCCGGCCGCUGGGGUUGCUGUGCUCCGCGGGCCCGCGAAUUCCUUGGGCGUAAGAUAAGGAGCGGCGGGAGCCGGCUGAACUGAAGUCAGCGGACUAUAAAUACGACUCUCAAUCCACCUUUGGCUCAGCCGAGUGACCUCGGAUACCCUCCCGAGUCUCAUUCCAUCCUUUUAGAAAAUGCUAAUAGCUGUCACUACCUCUUUUCUUCCUUUCCCCUCUCAGUCUCCGUGCAAAGUGCCAUUAAAAGUAUUCAGUGGCUUGUGGGUGAAGAAAGAAAAGAUAAUCCCCUUUUAAACCAGUCGUGAAAUACCUAACUUCUUCCACAAGGUCUUGUGGACUCCAAGCUGACCCGGAACUGACUGGAAGAGGAUGACCUUGAACUUCUGACCUCCUGCUACCACUGCCUGAGUGCUGGAUUUACAGGCUGUGCCUCAUGUCCCGGUUUAGAUCAGUGCUGGGGCUCUAUCCCAGGGUUGCCUGUGUGCCAGGCACUCUAUCUGCUAAACUCCAUCCCUAACCUCAGCCCUUUCAUAUUGAAAUCCUGCAGUGUCAGCCUGCCUAGGCUGCGAGUUUCUUUGUCUGCUGUCAGGACUCACCCCGUCCUAUACAGACUGGCCAACCUGUGACUCUGGCUCUUUACUUGGGCGUUCUGUGUUCCUGACUGUUCUUCCCAUCUUAUCAAGAGUGCUUCCCCCAUUUCCUGGGGCUGGGUAUCCUUAUGCCAACUCUUCUCCUAGACUACCACCUGUUGUUAGCUCACUUCUCUGGUUAUCAGGUGCUGCCUAUGGCACUGCGUUUCCUCCCAGCCCUGCUCCCACUCAGCCCAGCACGAAUGGUGUCCUUCCUCAUCCUGCUAUCUAUUCACUGCCCUACCCUCCCUGUACUGAGGACAGUAUGUUAAUGAUCUAUUACACCAGAAUUUUCAACCCGAAGAAAAUACAUAAGGUAUAUGUAUAGAUGUCAUAAAAUGUUAUAUAGAAGAAAUUCAUAUGUAUAUAUGUUCUGGAUAUCUAUGAGUAAUUUUUUCACGGUAAAAAUAUCCUAGCUUGCAACCAAGUGGCCGUGGUACAUAGCCUUUAAUUCCAGCACUCAGAAGGCGGAGUCAGUCAGAUCUCUCAGUUUGAGGGCAGCCU